rnacentral:lncRNA from 1 species
AUAUUCUCUAGAACAGCAUUGUGGCGGAUAACCGAUCGUUCCUAGAGUAAGUGAUAAAGGGUUUGGUGGUUGGUAUCCGGGACCUAAGUUCGAAUCCUAGUUGAUUCAUAUUUCCAGCUAAGUUUAUUUCUAAAUGAAAUAAACGAAACGGGUAGCGUGCUAUCUAUCUCUCAAAAAAAAAAAAAAGUAUUAUGACGGAUAAAUGUUUGUCAU